UGGGGAAUAUUGGACAAUGGGCGAAAGCCUGAUCCAGCCAUGCCGCGUGUGUGAAGAAGGUCUUCGGAUUGUAAAGCACUUUAAGUUGGGAGGAAGGGCAGUAACCUAAUACGUUGCUGUUUUGACGUUACCGACAGAAUAAGCACCGGCUAACUCUGUGCCAGCAGCCGCGGUAAUACAGAGGGUGCAAGCGUUAAUCGGAAUUACUGGGCGUAAAGCGCGCGUAGGUGGUUUGUUAAGUUGGAUGUGAAAGCCCCGGGCUCAACCUGGGAACUGCAUUCAAAACUGACAAGCUAGAGUAUGGUAGAGGGUGGUGGAAUUUCCUGUGUAGCGGUGAAAUGCGUAGAUAUAGGAAGGAACACCAGUGGCGAAGGCGACCACCUGGACUGAUACUGACACUGAGGUGCGAAAGCGUGGGGAGCAAACA
rnacentral:rRNA from 1 species